rnacentral:rRNA from 1 species
UACGGGGGGAGCAAGCGUUGUUCGGAUUUACUGGGCGUAAAGGGCGCGUAGGCGGCCACCGCAAGUCGCCUGGGAAAUCUCCGGGCUUAACCCGGAAAGGUCAGCCGAUACUGCGGGGCUAGAGUGCAGAAGGGGCAACUGGAAUUCUCGGUGUAGCGGUGAAAUGCGUAGAUAUCGAGAGGAACACCUGCGGCGAAGGCGGGUUGCUGGGCUGACACUGACGCUGAAGCGCGAAAGCUAGGGGAGCGAACGGG